rnacentral:rRNA from 1 species
GUCCAGCCUGCCCAGUGAAAAACUUUUUAACGGCCGCGGUAUCCUAACCGUGCAAAGGUAGCGUAAUCACUUGUCCUCUAAAUAGGGACCAGUAUGAAUGGCUACAUGAGGGCCUAACUGUCUCCUGUGGUUAAUCAAUGAAACUGAGCUUCCAGUACAAAAGCUGGAAUAUAAACAUAAGACGAGAAGACCCUGUGGAGCUUUAAACAAACCACUACAUACCUAACACCACCCCAACCGGCACAAUCUCCGUCUAUAGUGUGAGUUUUAAGUUGGGGCGACUACGGAGAAAAAUAGAACCUCCAUGGACCAGGGAUACCCCAUUUAAGGCCUACGGGCCAAAAAUAAAAUACUGACCCAGUCCAAUACUGAUCAUCGAACCAAGUUACCCCAGGGAUAACAGCGCAAUCCUCUUUUAGAGUUCCUAUCGCCAUGAGGGUUUACGACCUCGAUGUUGGAUCAGGACACCCCGGUAGUGCAACAGCUACCAACGGUUCGUUUGUUCAACGAC